rnacentral:rRNA from 1 species
AACGAACGCUGGCGGCAUGCCUAACACAUGCAAGUCGAACGAGACCUUCGGGUCUAGUGGCGCACGGGUGCGUAACGCGUGGGAACCUGCCCUUAGGUUCGGAAUAACUCCCCGAAAGGGGUCCUAAUACCGGUUAAUGUCUUCGGACCAAAGAUUUAUCGCCUUUGGAUGGGCCCGCGUUGGAUUAGCUAGUUGGUAGGGUAAAAGCCUACCAAGGCGACGAUCCAUAGCUGGUCUGAGAGGAUGAUCAGCCACACUGGGACUGAGACACGGCCCAGACUCCUACGGGAGGCAGCAGUGGGGAAUAUUGGACAAUGGGCGAAAGCCUGAUCCAGCAAUGCCGCGUGAGUGAUGAAGGCCUUAGGGUUGUAAAGCUCUUUUACCCGGGAUGAUAAUGACAGUACCGGGAGAAUAAGCUCCGGCUAACUACGUG